rnacentral:lncRNA from 1 species
GGCUAUGCAAAGCCUUUAGCUGAUCAGGAGACAAAAGAAAGGACUUCAUUACAGGACUUGUAAAUUGUUGCUUUAUUGCUUUACUUUCUAAUAUUAUAUCAUUAAGCAGCCUUGUUAGUCAAUAUACUCUGUUGUGAAUAAAAUAGAAAAUGGUUAAGAUCAGUCAGAAAAUAAUGGCUUCAAAUUUCAGUUUCACUAGGUAUAUGGUAGCAGUUCCAAAACCGAGUCAGGAGCAUGUGUUUGGAAAGAGGCCUUCAACAGGUUCAGGUGACAGAGAGGAGAGUAGGUCCAGAUCUUGAACACAGAAAGGAGAUGUGGCUGGGAGCCCCUAACAGCACAGGAGGAGCUUAAGGGUGCAGGGGUCUUUGGAGAAGGUGAAACUAGGGAGUAAUUUCCAGCAGCACAGUUCUUAGGUGCUUUUUUAGAUGUCUUGGGGCAGGUACCAUAGGCAUUUCUGACUGAACUGACCUCUCUUGGUCUCAAUGCAGUGUCUGGAUUAAGGACUAGCAAAUUCUUGAUACCCAUCCCACAACGGGGUUAUCAUGAAUGAUUAGCCAUCUACGAAUCUAAAGACACUGUUUUAGGCCAUGCCUCAGUCAACCCAUCUUGAAGUUUCAUUGGGGGUUCUUUAUCAAAGACCUGACACGGAACUGGAGGAUUAGAGCAGUUACACUGGUGAUAAGUAGAAAUCCAGGCCACCAUCUCUUCCUGCCUGAGCUGUCACUCUCAGGAAAGUCACAAUUUCAUUUCUUAAUGAAAUAUAGCAUUAUGUUCCAAGGGCAUUUUUAGUUUCCACUGCUCUGUAGGUUGCACUGUUGCAGUGAUUGAAUAACUGCUAGGGGUCCUGGCCUGCACAUUCCCAUGUGGUUAAUUGCAACAGCAUGUGGUAGAAGUCUGUACUGAGUCUGUAAUCUGAUGCCACUAAUAUGAUGGUGUCAGGUGCAUAAAAUGCUCCAGAUAGUUGGACUUUUUUCCUACUACAUUGGGAGUUUGGAAACUUUCCCAAUAGUUUUUGCAAGCAGGGGAAAUCUCUCUUUUUGCCCUUCAGACUUCUUGCAAAUAAAAGCCCCUCUAAAAUGGGCCUGUAUGAGAGAGUGCUUCUCUCUACCCAUGACAUAUGCUUUGUACUUCAGUCAGGCAGAGGAGAAGGAUGGAGGGAAAGUUGUCUAGACAUCCACAUGGAGUAAUGAGAACAAAAAAAAGUGUGAUUGAGAGAAGAUAGCAAGUUGAAAAGAGGAAAAAUGUAGUAAACCUAAAGAGCAGAGAGGCCAGAGCAUCAUAGAGAGAGACUUUGAGAGUAAAGGGCCAAGUGUGUUUCAGUCACUUGAAAUAAAUUCAAUAAAUGUAAGAAUCACUCACUAAAUACGAGAUUCCAAGUUAGAAAAGUGAGUCCAAAAAAAUAAAUAUUUAAGUGGGCAAGUCACAUAACCUCUCUCAGUCUCAGUUUCCUCACAUGCAAAAUGGGGACACUAAUAAUAUCUACCUAAUAGAAUUGUUGUGAGAUUUCUAGUAGGUAAUGUAUGUAAAGCACUUAGCACAGAACCCAUCAUAGAGUGAGAGCCCAGUGUGGCUUAAUGAUGAUGAUGGUGAUAUUGAUGAAGGUGAUGGAAGACAUUGAAGAUGAUGCCGAAAGGAUCUAGCCAAUGAAUUUCAUUUCAAAUCAAUGACAUGCAUUUAAAUGAAGCCAGAGUUAAUCAAAUUUUAAAAUCACUCAGCCAUUUCUAGCCCUAUAGAAGAGCUAUAUGCUAGCUACAGUUUAUUGGCCAAUUUUCCACCUCCCUUUCAUUCGCACAAUCCCCAAACAAGUGGACAAAAGAAGAAGUAAAAGCUAGGAUAAAUGCUAGCACCUGCAUGUUUAGAAUAUGCGGUGACAGUGUUGGGGGAAACACUAAGAAAUCAUCUUUUAUGGAGAAUCGUACUUAAACAUCUAAGACAGGUGAGUGUCUAUGCUGUUCUUAAGGAUUUCUAAAGGUGUAGCUUUUCCUAAUAGUUGGGUUCAAGGUCUAAUUAUCUAGAUGUUUAACUUAAACACCAUUUCAAUCUGGUUCUGAUCUCCCUGGCAAUGUACAACAGCUGGAGUUGUAUAAAAUAACCCAUGACCCAUAGAGUUAGAAGAUAGGAAUAACAUCCAUACUAUAACCUAGUUGUGCUAAAUCAGACUUAGCACAGAUUCCUAAAGGUGAGAUUAAGGUCAGGUGUCAUUUGCCUUCAAUCAGAAAUGUUUGUGGGGAAAAUGAGAAGUGUGUCAUGCCACAAUACAGUCCAGAUGUCUGAGGAAUCUCCAGGGAAGAGAAGCUAGAGGCAAUAAUGCAAAGCAGGUGUAGUUCAAGGUGACUUAUGUGGGCAGCUCUGGAUUGGCCCAUUCUGACAGCAAAGGAGCAGGGAAGAAGUUUAGUAGAGGAAGUUCAAUCUGGACAGUCCCUUUGGGACUCUUUGGGGGAACAUGCUUUGAUCCACUGUGGAGCUGAAUGUGACUCCAGCUAUGGGGCCUAGGGUUGCUUUCAUCAGCUCCACUGGAGUGCUCUUUUGCAUGCCUUCCUCACCUCUGUGAAUCUCCUCUAGAAGUGUCCCUAUUUACCCCUUAAGUGGAGGAGAGCAAAUCUGAACUCCAGGCUAUAAUUAGAGUGAGACUCAUGAUACUUGCAGCCCAAGGACAUCUCUUCAGGUGUUAUACUCCACUUGUCAUAUAACACAUGAUUUCUGAUAAUCUAUGAUAGGGUAGUCCUCCUCCAAAAAAGCAAACAAACAAACAAAUAAAAUAAGAACAAACUUUUCCUGGCUCAUAUGCAUGAUGUGUUCUAAUGUGGAUCUUUUCUGUUUAAUUAGUUGAAUGUCUCAUUCCUUACAUUUCAGUUGUACAGUUUGUUUGAAGUUCUUAAGCACUUAACUUGUACGUGGCUAGGGAAACAGAGACCACAUCUUUUAUUUUUAUUUAUCCACUGCUGUAAACAGUGCUAACACCAUAGAUGAAUGGCAAAUGCUUGUUGAGCACAUGAAUGAAUAAGGCGUGGAAAAAAAGCAUCCAUCUUUUUGCUAACACUGAUUUUUAUUUCAGAUCCUAGACAAGCAGUUUUAAUUCACCAAUAUGUUUACACACAGCUGCAUGCAAUACCCUUGAUUUUCCUCAUACCAUCUGCUGCCUGAGUCAUCCCUUGAAGGCCAAAAAAACAUAGAACAAAAGGAGCAUUGGGAAAUGGGGCAAGGAGGUGUGGAAAGUGGACAGGAAGAGGUGUUUAAGGGAAAUGGUGCACAUUUGCAGAUGUCGCAGAGAUUUAUUUCUUUUUCUAUGGGGAUUUACUCUAGUGACCAAACUCUGCUUUCAGGAUUUUUUCCAAAAAGCUCUUGGGGUAUUUAUCAUUUGCUAUGGGGAUUGUUUUUUUGGCAGAACUUUACUUUUUUUUUCAGAUUUUUGAUUCAGGUUUUAGACUCGAACUAUUAAGAGGAGCAACACCUUGACAUUACGGGGAGAGAGAAAGUUUAAAGCUUAGAGUGGAGGAGGGAAUCGUCAAAAUAAUUUUUUAGGUACCUCUCUCAAAACCAUCAUUUCUUCCACUCCUUGCUCUUGGAGCAACCACAUCACGGGAAUGAAAAGGGUGGAAGCCUCAGACCCUCUGUGUGGUGAGGAAAUGUGGGUGAGGUGAGCUCUUGACAUAUAUUUUAGGCCACAUUUUGGCACCAGUGCCCAGACAACAGGUCCUGUGUGUUCCUGAGGGAGCAUCCUCAGUGGUAAGCCUUUGAGAGUCAUCAACCUGCAAGGAAGCUCUUGUAAGAACUAUAUUCCUAGGAAACAAUAAAUCCUUACUGAUUGAUUCCAGACCACCAUUCCUUUCCCAACCAGAGAUGUAAAUUUUUCUUAAAAAUGUUUUUGAAGAUAGGGAGUGCUUGGAAGGGUUUAAAAGAAGGGAGUCCUUAAAAAUUUUUUUGUCAGGUUAUCUAUUUUAGAGAUAACUAUGCCAUAAAUGUGCUUUUGGGACACUUUUGUUUGAGUACCAUACAGAGAAAUAUAGGAUAGUAAUUAUCAUUAACCUUAAACUAGUAGAAAAUCAGGGGACAGAAAGAGAGCUCAUUGGGAAAUGAGUCAUUUCCGAGUAAUUUCCAUUUAGUAAAAUUAGAGUCACUGAGCUAGUAAACAGGUAUUUAUAGAGAGCUGAUGAAGAGUAAGAGAAAUCUGAAUUCUGUCCUCCAAUUAAAAGUAUAUUCAUUUAGCCGGGGUACUACUAGUGAGGUUUGCAGACAGAUAGCACAAUUUCAUUGACUUACACAAGAAAAUUUUUUUUUUCCCAUAUAAUAGUGGAUAUAAAAGCCAAAGGGUUGAAGGCACAGUUGCUCCACUGUUAUUCAGGCACCAGACUCAACAGCUCCACUAUCAUUAGCCAUGCCUUCCAAGGACACCCUGGACAAAAAUACAAGCCAAUGGAUUGGGGAAGGAGAGAGUGCUUCAGACACAUAACACUUCUGCUCAUAUUCCACUGAGCACUCAUCAUUUGGCCCCACACAAAAGGGCAUAGGGCUGAGAAUGUAGCCCCUGGUCUGGCAGCCGCUCCAGGCUAAAAUGCUACCCUGGAAGGGGGAGCUUGAACCCACUGGGAGACAGCCAAUUUCUCCAUGAGAAGAAUUAGGAAUUGUGUUGAAAGGGAGGAAUCAAUGAAGUCAAGCUGAUAAAACCAUUUUUAGAGUUCUGGGUCUCCCACUCACCAGCUGGGUGAUUUAGUUUCUUUGAUCAACAGUCUCCAUCUACAAAGUCAAGAUCAUAAUAACAGCUUCCAGGAUUGCAGUGAGAACUAAAUACAACACUAAGUAUGAAGGUCCUCAUCAAUGAGAAAGGUCUGCCUGGAACUCCUGCAGCUGUAGCUAAGCAGAGUUGACUUCUUAAAAUUAGAUUUACUAUAUAUUUUUGAAGGCUUACCAUUCAAGUCACUGGCUAAUUCAAGACUGAAGAAAAUGAUAUGUUUCUUGAGCUUAUAUUGUGUUUCUUAAUUAUUACACACAGAAAGGAUAGUGUGUUUUUAAAAGUGUAAUUUGGAAAUUUGGGGGUAGAGUAAUGGAAAGAAAAAAAAAAAA